rnacentral:rRNA from 1 species
AUUGAACGCUGGCGGCAGGCUUAACACAUGCAAGUCGAACGAGUGGCGGACGGGUGAGUAAUGUCUGGGAAACUGCCCGAUGGAGGGGGAUAACUACUGGAAACGGUAGCUAAUACCGCGUACCAUAGGAUGAGCCCAGAUGGGAUUAGGUAGUUGGUGAGGUAAAGGCUCACCAAGCCGACGAUCUCUAGCUGGUCUGAGAGGAUGACCAGCCACACUGGGACUGAGACACGGUCCAGACUCCUACGGGAGGCAGCAGUGGGGAAUAUUGCGCAAUGGGGGCAACCCUGAUGCAGCCAUGCCGCGUGUAUGAAGAAGGCCUUCGGGUUGUAAAGUUCUUUCGGUAGCGAGGCGUUACCUACAGAAGAAGCACCGGCUAACUCCGUGCCAGCAGCCGCGGUAAUUC